rnacentral:misc_RNA from 1 species
AACACUGUUAACCUGCGGUACCUGCGGAGGGAUCAUUGCUGGAACGCGCUUCGGCGCACCCAGAAACCCUUUGUGAACUUAUACCUAUUUGUUGCCUCGGCGUAGGCCGGCCUCUUCACUGAGGCCCCCUGGAAACAGGGAGCAGCCCGCCGGCGGCCAACUAAACUCUUGUUUCUGUAGUGAAUCUCUGAGUAAAAACAUAAAUGAAUCAAAACUUUUAGCAAUGGAUCUCAGAUCGGA